rnacentral:lncRNA from 1 species
GUUUACUUCGCCUCCACUUCUGUUCCUCCCCGCCCUGGUGCUGCUCCAGGUCACAUACUCUUCCUGAGCCGGCUUCAGCCUCUCCGCGCAGAAGUCUCCCGGAGCCAUGGCCUAGUAUUCUUAUGUGAAGUCUACCAAGCUUGUGCUCAAGGGAACCGAGGUGAAGAGCUGGGUCCUGCAGCUCCGGCGGGAGCCUCCUCAGUUCUUUUCGGACGCACUCCACCCCCGCGAAUCCGGUGGAAGCCGUGAUGCGGAGAGCCGGCUUCGUGGCCUCCCAGGCUUCGCUCUGACCCUGUCUGGGCUGGAUGGAGGCCGGACCGCCCUUCCUGGCGCCUGUGCAGAGAGGGGCAGCCUCCUGCGCGGACGACCCUGGAAACAGGAUAGACGGGCGGGUGACCCGUGACCCCGUACCCACGAGUUUGGGUCCCUUGAGGCAUCUCUCCAGGCCUCUGCCUGAUUUGCCUGAGGUUGACUGUACAUGCAAAUAUUGAGCUUUCCUCCUGGCCUCCGUGAUAAACAGAAGUUUUGAUAUUGUUAGGCGAGAUGGAAAGAAAGUAUCAAGGAGUGAGCUGAAGCCACUGCCCUUGAGAACCCUCUCGAGGAGUCUGGCCUCAUGAAGAUGCCAGAAUAAAUGGCAGUAAGAAGAAAAAGAGCAAAGAUAAGAAGAGAAAAAGAGAAGAUGAAGAAACCCAGCUUGAUAUGUUGAGGAACGCAGCUGCUCACCAGCAACGGAACAAAGCUGGACGGAGAAUGACUUUGAAGAGCUGAGAGAAGGCUUCAGACGAUCAAAUUACUCUGAGCUACGGGAGGACAUUCAAACCAAAGGCAAAGAAGUUGAAAACUUUGAAAAAAAUAAAUGUACAUUAAUUAACGUGGAAUCUGGUGAACAGUAACAAACUUUGGUGAAAUUUCAGGAACCAUAGCCAUUGAAGUGGAUGAGGGAACCUAUAUACAUGCACUCAACAAUGGUCUUUUUACCCUGGGAGCUCCACACAAAGAAGAAUCGCCCUGAAACCUGGCUAUGGAAAAUAUCUUAGUAUAAAUUCAGAUGAACUUGUUGUUGGCGUUCAGAUGCAAUUGGACCAAGAGAACAAUGGGAACCAGUCUUUCAAAAUCUUAUUUUGGGAGAGGCCAGCUGCCAUGUCAUGAAGACACUCAAGAAGCCCUGUGAAGAGGAAGCAAGGCCUGCCAACAACAGCCAGCACCAACUUUCCAGCCAAGGGAUUGAGCCAUCUCACAGUGGAUCCUCCAGCCCCCACCAAGCCUUCAUAUGACCAAACCAAUACCAACAUGUAACUGUGACCUCAUGUGAGUCCCCAAGCCAGAAUACCCAUCUCCUGUCUCAGAAAUGAUGAGAAAUAAUAAAUAUAUGUGCUCACACACAUUACCAUCUAAUUUUCUACAAUAUAUGUUUAUUUCCCCACUGUAUAUAAGAUCCAAGGACUGUUUUUUUUUUUCACUGCUAUAUUCCAAGAACCUAGAACAAAUCUGGCAUAUGGUAAGUAUACAAUAAAUAUCUGUUGAAUUAAUUAAUGGGAAAAAAUAAAUGAAUGAUGAAUG